rnacentral:rRNA from 1 species
GGCUCAGAACGAACGCUGGCGGCAUGCCUAACACAUGCAAGUCGAACGAAGUCUUCGGACUUAGUGGCGCACGGGUGCGUAACGCGUGGGAAUCUGCCCUUGGGUACGGAAUAACUCAGAGAAAUUUGUGCUAAUACCGUAUAAUGACUUCGGUCCAAAGAUUUAUCGCCCAAGGAUGAGCCCGCGUAAGAUUAGCUAGUUGGUGGGGUAAAAGCCUACCAAGGCGACGAUCUUUAGCUGGUCUGAGAGGAUGAUCAGCCACACUGGGACUGAGACACGGCCCAGACUCCUACGGGAGGCAGCAGUGGGGAAUAUUGGACAAUGGGCGAAAGCCUGAUCCAGCAAUGCCGCGUGAGUGAUGAAGGCCCUAGGGUUGUAAAGCUCUUUUACCCGGGAUGAUAAUGACAGUACCGGGAGAAUAAGCUCCGGCUAACUCCGUGCCAGCAGCCGCGGUAAUACGGAGGGAGCUAGCGUUGUUCGGAAUUACUGGGCGUAAAGCGCGCGUAGGCGGUUUUUUAAGUCAGAGGUGAAAGCCCAGUGCUCAACACUGGAACUGCCUUUGAAACUGGAAAACUUGAAUCUUGCGAGGUCAGUGGAAUUCCGAGUGUAGAGGUGAAAUUCGUAGAUAUUCAGAAGAACACCAGUGAGAACGCGACUGACUGGACUAGUAUUGACGCUGAGUGCGAAAGCGUGAGAGCAACAGAUUAGAUACCCUGAUAGUCCACGCCGUAAACGAUGAUAGCUAGCUGUCCGGGUUCAUAGAACUUGGGUGGCGCAGCUAACGCAUUAGUUAUCCGCUGGGGGAGUACGGUCGCAAGAUAAAACUCAAAGGAACUGACGGGUGUCCUGCACAGCGGGGAACAUGUGGUUUAUUCGAGCACGCGCAAAGCUUACCAGCGUUGACUCCUGAUCCCGAUAAAAGAUCUUUUCUUCAAUCGCUGAUCAUGACAGUGCUGCAUGGCUGUCGUCCCCGUCCUGGAAGGGUAGUUAGUCAUAAAAGGCAACUCAUCCUUAUGCAUGCUCAUUGACUUAAGAUAUCCGCCGGUAUCCGAAAAUGGGGAAGUCAUCCUUGUCUUACGUGCUAUACCUGGUCAAAUCGGGUAAAAGGUGGGAACGC